rnacentral:lncRNA from 1 species
GAUCAGACUUCAUCAGCUUUCAGCACAGAUACCAGAUACCAGAAAUGGCACCAACCUCAACUGAAGCUUGAGGUUCCAAGUAAAGACACAGGACAACUGCUAUAAAGGCCACCAGUGGACACUAGUGCCACUGCUGUAGGAGACUCCACCCCACCUACAAACUCAUCUGAGGACCCCAGAGUCUACUUUUGUACAGGCUGUGCCUCUCCCCGAAGAAGUCCUAUGAACAAGAUAUAUAGUCACCUGGGGCAUCAAUCUGUGAUCACUUCCAAGGGGGCAUAAGCAAGACUUCUUGACAUUUGGCUGAGCACGGCAUCCCUGAAGCAAGUCGGAUGGGUGAUGGAAACUCUUCCUCCACAAGCCAGUCAGUCAACAUGCUGGAGUGGACAAGAGGAGAAGACCAGGGGAGAUCCUAUACAGGCAGCAAGCCCUGGGACCUUCCUGCCACAGCUGCCAGUCUCCAGGAAGAACUUCUCUUUGGAGACAAGCAGAGCAGAAAACAUGGUGCAGUCACAAUGCGUUUGCUCAGCCAGAACAUCUCCAGGGUGUGGCAAGUUCGUGUACCUUCUCUGAUCAAGAACUUUUCUUGCCCACAAGUCUCUUUUGAGGACAACCACAAAGCCCAAACAGCACACCAACUGGAGAGACUGCACAGUGAAAUGGUUCUGCUCUGAAUCCCUCCUGCAGCACUGCACACACAGGUAGAGAAAAUGCAAUGAGCCUGCACGUAGCCCUCAGAAGCCUGGGAGAGCAUGGGAGCUCUGAGCAGAGCUGGAGAUCACAUCUUCUGCUCAAGGCUGGGAGCCGGGGCUACAGGGGGAAAAAUAAAAGCAGCACCACAGGCUUCAACUUUGCAUUGCAGUUUGCCUUGGCUUCCCUUUGCGUGAGAUGUAGCUGAUGAAGAAUUAGAGGCCUCAGGAAAACAUGCCACGAACACAUAAUGCCUGUGGCAAGCAGUGUCUGACCCAUUCUCUCUGCAGAAAGUCAGAUGCAAAUUAUCCUGAUUAAAUAAUAUGACAGGGUUAAAUAGACACCUACACACUUGUAAGUUGAGUUAUACCUGCACUCUAGGUCGUUAGUAUGCAGCUGCUACACACGGACUAUCAAAUGAAUACUUAAAUAGGAAAACUCUUUAUUUUGCAACUUGCAAAUGUUUGCUGUAGGGAAUUUUUUUUAGAUAUAUAUUUAAUUAUGUGUAUGAUGUGUGUCUGUGUGUAGGUGUACGCACGGAAGUGCAGGCUCACACAGAAACCAUAGGUGUUAUUCCUCCCAGACCUAGAGUUACAGGCAGUUAGUUAUGAGUCUCCUGUCAUGAGUGCUGGGAACCAAACUUGGGUUCCCUUGCAAGAACAUUACACAGAAGCUCUAAGUUGCUGAGCCAUCUUUCCAGCCCAUAAGUGUCCUUAUGAUGUGAGAGUCUAAGAGCUUCUCUUUCCCGCCUAAGCCGAAACUGCGAGGUUAGGUCAAAUGCCGUGUUUAGUUUCCCAAGCAACACUGAAAUCAAACAAAAGUCUUCAUAUCUACGGAAACUGGAUAGAGGUAUCCUGAGCUGUCAAAACUGGCAUUAUGUGUGAACUUACUGAGUACACCCAUUAAAAAUUAGGACCGAAUCUGAAAUUCUACUUAAGCAAAGCUGGAGACUCAUAAUUUGAGCUCUGACUCUGUACAGCUGCCAAAGGAAAGUUAAUUUUUUUUUAUCUAAGGGGUGAACAGCUGCAGUCAAAAUUACCCUGUCAUAUCCAUCUUUAUAAGCGUCUCCCAGAGAAUCCAGAGGAACAGCGAACACUUCCGACAGGAUCCCUGUUUUAGUGUGAUUCGGAGAGAUGAUCAUGGUCUCAGUUUCGGGGUCUCCUUCAACAUAAAUAUUAAUGAAUCCAACCACAUAAAGACUCUUCCUCUGAUGAAAAUUAAAAAUUCAGCUCUUGCAUCAUAGCUUUUCAUGAAGAAGAAUUAAGACGCCUUCAUUAGUUUUAAAGGAUGUGGUUAAAAUUAAUAAAUCAUUAUCGAAUCUAAAUCUCAAAAAACCACUUGUAA